GCUUCUAAUAAGUGUAGUUGGUCAUCACGUCCGUCUCACAAUUUGGCGGACACGGGAGGUCCCCGGUUCGAGCCCGGGUUGAACCA